rnacentral:rRNA from 1 species
CAGUCGCCACGGGAAUACAGAGGGUGCGAGCGUUAAUCGGAUUUACUGGGCGUAAAGCGUGCGUAGGCGGCUUUUUAAGUCGGAUGUGAAAUCCCCGAGCUUAACUUGGGAAUUGCAUUCGAUACUGGGAAGCUAGAGUAUGGGAGAGGAUGGUAGAAUUCCAGGUGUAGCGGUGAAAUGCGUAGAGAUCUGGAGGAAUACCGAUGGCGAAGGCAGCCAUCUGGCCUAAUACUGACGCUGAGGUACGAAAGCAUGGGGAGCAAACAGGAUUAGAUACCCCCGUAGUCCCUGUCUCUUAUAC